rnacentral:lncRNA from 1 species
AAGGGUGUUUGGAAGAAAGGAAGCAAGUAUGUUUGUGUUUUUUUUAACAUUAUUUUUUUUUGUUUUUUAUGUACUUAAUAGAUGGUCUCAUUGUGUUGAAUUUUUUGAGAGUUUUAAUUUUUAUUUUUUGUUUUUUACUUAACUAUUGUAAGGAAGAUUAUUAUAUAUUGAAAUGGUAUGGCAAAAAAUACAUGAUGUUUUCUCAUUUUUAUUUGCAAUUAUUAUGUCUUUUUUUUAGUUAGUUAAUAUUCAAAAUUCUUUUCUAAUUUUCAGGGCUUUUUAUGUAAUUAUAAUAUGUUUGAUAUUUUUAACAUUAAAUUGUUACAUGUUUUAUAUAUUUUG